CGCAGCACUUCCGGUGGGUCCGGCUCCAUAAGAGCGCGUGCGCGGCGGGCUUUGGCCUUUCGCGUCGGCUCGGUGCGGCGGGUGUGCUCUUCUCAGCCUGGUUGCCCCGCUGGUAAUUGACCAGAACGUGGAGAGACGUCAAGAAGCCCCAGUGGCGGUGGGUGACGGCCCACAGCAUCGCAGUGGAUCGCCGACCUCGAUUUUAGUCGGGGAACGGGCGCUUUGAGUUACGCGCUGGUGACUGUUAACACUGCUCCGCCGCAGCCAGAAAGGCAGCUCCUGGAGUCCGUGCCAUGCCCUUUAGAUGAAGAGAGUUGGAAAUGGCCCAGAGACCCCCGAGUAGCUCCUGAAGUCCAUGCCAUGCCCUUUAGAUGAAGGGAGUUGGAAAUGGCCCAGAGACCCCCGAGCAGCUCCUGAAGUCCAUGCCAUGCCCCUUAGAUGAAGGGAGUUGGAAAUGGCCCAGAGACCCCCGAGCAGUUCCUGGAGUCCAUGCCAUGCCCCUUAGAUGAAGGGAGUUGGAAAUGGCCCAGAGACUCCCGAGCAGCUCCUGGAGUCCAUGCCAUGCCCCUUAGAUGAAGGGAGUUGGAAAUGGCCCAGAGACCCCCGAGCAGCUCCUGGAGUCCGUGCCAUGCCCCUUAGAUGAAGGAAGUUGGAAAUUGCCCGCAGACCCCUGACGGAUGCUUUCACUGAUAACGACUUUCGUCUGCUUCUGUAAAACUAGGCUUGCUUGCAUUGGCUACUAACCCCAGCGGCGAUAUCACGCUGCUUAUACGUCAUUUUUCCUAUAUAUGCUGUAGGUUAUCGACCCCAGGGCAAUCCCCCCUUUUUUUUACACCACUUUUAGGUGCUUGGAUGAUCAUCACUGGCCACCUGUAAUAAAGGCUUCUUUUGGUUUUUA